CGGAGGCGGUGCAGUGGGGAAGCUAGCAACCUCAGAAGAGAGCUCUCUGGAUGCGGGGUUCCCUGAGCAGGGGAUGAGCUCCUACCAUCUUGUUUUUUGUGAGACCUUUUGUUGAAUACCAUCUCAUCUUCAAUAUCAUAUUAAUUUAUUGAGGUCGCUGGGAUUUAUUUUAAAUGCUGAAUAAAAUUCAGAAAGAUGUGAGACAGCAAAGAAGUCAUGGAUGUUUUCACCUUUGGUGAGAGUAGAAUGGGGAGAUCCAGAAGCCAAAACCAAAGGCUCAGAGGGGAGCCAGCUUUCUCUGUAAAUCUGCUUCACUUGACUUCCUGAUGCCUACCAACCUCCCUGCCCAGUUUCAAGCCUCUGCUCUCCACAAUUCUAUCAGCUGGCCUCCCUCUCUGAAGAGAGCCUCUCCUGAAAGACUGCUGCCACACAGUGAGACCAUCGUGACAUCACCAAAUACUAGUGGGAUGGAUGGCAGAGGAUGCCAUGGUCCCUUCAGCAGAAACCUUGGAGGAAGAGAGCUGACCCAGCAUGAGACAAUUUGGUAACUUUUCUGAUGGUUCAUAAGCAAUAAAAAAUAUUGUAGUCACUUUAUUCCCCAAUUAAAGGUGAAUAGCAA